GAACUGGAUGUUCCUUCCCAACAUUCGGAAGAUACACCAAGGUGGCCCAAUUAUCUCCUCAACGAGGGGAAGGCUGUCACCACAAUAAAAUCCUAUCUGGUCAACACAUCCGAGUUCCUCGCAUACUUCAGGGACACACCGCCCUCAGCAUCCAGGGUCCCGAAAGCCUGAUUAGUGGCAGUGGUAAGGGCUAUUUCUUCCUCCAUCUCCAAGCUUGGCAGACGUGUAGUGAUCCGCCAGAUUAGGAUCAAGAAGCGCAAAAUGAGCUCCGCUAUCUCCAGGCGGGACCUCCACAGUUGCCAGGUCACGGCAAGGCAGAGAAUCCCCGAAAUUCUUGAUCAGCUGUCCGCGGACCCCAGUCCCGAAAACCGCAAGAGGUUCCACGGGUACGUGAGCGUCUACCUGGCCAGUUUGUAUGGGCACAGGACAGGUGUCCUGGAGAACAUGACUGUGUCAGA